UUAUCUGAGCACUACAUAAUUUACAGUAGCGGAUCUGGUGGGUAGGUUUUAUUUGAACGUUAUCAACUAAAAAUUAUCAGCAUUUGCUCUUUUGCGGUCUUCGAUUCACCUCCCUUUUUGAAAGAAUUUUCUUGAUCCGCCACUUUUUAGUGUAGCGGAAAUGGCCGAGUAGUUACGAUUGCAUCGCAGCGCGUAACAUUACCUAUGUUUCCGGCGAACAUUUUGAGUUGAAAAUCUCCUUUGUUACUUUUUAGUGUAGCGGAAAUGGCCGAGUAGUUACGAUUGACUAAAAAUCUACAAGAGUUGUCUUUCUUUAAGAAGCAGAAGACAUUUGCCGUGAAAACGGAAAUGGAUGCCGAAUUCGAAAGAAAAGCUUAUUUUAGGGAUCUUUGCAGGAUGUUGUCCACUAAGUUAAUGGUGGGAUCGUAGCACUACCCUGCACACAGACAUGGAAUGGAUCUGCCUAGUCCAUUAUCAGAAGAGUGACUAAGCCUGUUGGUCCCAUCAGAGAAGUUUCUCAAGAAGCAUUACAAGGGACUUGUAUGAAUGGGCAGAAGAAAUUUUCUUAACUGACCACCUCAUCAUUGCCUGCUGUUGGAGACUGAACACUUUAUUGAAAAUUGAUGGGGUGUAGCAAUCUGUAGGUGUCCUCUUUUGACCUGAGAAGAAUCAGAGAAGUAUUCAUUUUUAUUGUAAAAAGUUUAGUUCAAGUUCAUGUAAUGAGCAAGGAGGCAGAUUUUACAGUUAUCUCCCUUAGACUAUGUAAAUUAUAAUACAGCACUUGCUAAUGUUAUUUUACAUGUUAAAUGUUGUUCAAAUGUUGUUAAUUUGGUUCAUAGACAAAGACAUGAGCUGCAUGCAUUGUACCAGUUUACAUACAGUUACCUACAGAAUUAACAGUAGAUUACAUGUACCUGACUCCCCAGAUUACCUGAGUGAUUAUUGCUGUUGGACUGCAUCCAUCAUUGUGUUUCGUCUGUCGUGCAUUACCAAUUGAACAUGUUAUAUACCUGGACCUUUAGUUGGGACGUAUUAUGGUACCGCAAUGUUUGUAUGUCCGUCUGUAGAUGUGGUGUAUUAUGGUAUAGCAAUGUCUGUAUGUCUGUCUGUAGAUGCGACGUAUCAUAGCAAAGCAAUGUCCUUAUGUCCGUCUGUAAAUGGGACAUAUUGUGAUACAGCAAUGUCUGUAUGUCUGUCUGUAGAUGGGAUGUGUUAUGGUACAGCAAUGUCUGUAAGUCUGUCUGUAGAUGAGAUGCAUCAUAGUACAGCAAUGUCUCUCUGUCUCUAGAUGGGACGUAUUAUGGUACAGCAAUGUCUAUGUCUGUCAGUAGAUGGGGCGUAUUAUGGUACAGCAAUAUCUGUAUGUCUGUCUGUAGAUGGGAUGUAUUAUGGUAUAUCGAUGUGUGUAUAUAUCUGUCUGUAGACGGGGCAUACCAUGGUACAUCAAUGUCUGUAAGUCUGUUUGUAGGUGGGACGUAUUAUGGUUCAGCAAUGUAUGCAUAUCUGUCUUAAAGACCCAAAUAAAAUACCGUAUGGUUUCUUCAUGGAUCACUGGAUGUGGGCAGAACUCAUCUAUGGUCAUUGUUAUUUACCUGGCCAAGAGAUCAGGGUGCUGUGUAUACUUUUGAUGUACACAGGAAGGGUCUGCAGUAAGUGUUUCUGUGGUCAUAGUGCUUGUAUAGUAGUUGUAUCCCUAUGGCUAGAUGACAUUCAGUCUACACAACCCCCUCUUUCUGUUUUUACUCUUGGUCAUUGGCUCAAUGAAUAAUUUCUUUUAUAGAUAUAGAGCUAUCAUAAAAUGAUAAUAUAAAUUAUUUCAAUAAGUUGCAAGGUUUAGAAAUUAAUGUGCAAAUUAUUGUUUGAUUUCUGAUUGUGUAAUUUAUAAUACAUGUAUAUAGAGGGGAAAAUUACAAUUAUAUUAAAAUGCAUUGUUCAGGGGUCUUUUAAAAAACAAUUGAAUUAUGAGAAAAUAGCAGUUGUGAACAGGUCAAUGCUAUCAAAACUCUAGAAUACAGGGCUUCCUCAAGAUCUAAAGAAUACCUGUAGGUACUUGCUGUUAUUGUUAUCAAAACACCUCUCUAGAGUAGCUCUAGACCAUGAUAGUUUCUGCAGAUGGCACUCCACCUGAGAUCUAUUGUUAAAUGUUUGAUGGCCAGACAGCUAACAAUUUGGGGAUGUUAACUUAAAGUUGGGUCUUUAAGAUGGGAUGCAUUGUCCACCAUCUGAAUGCUUUGUUAUGAUGUAUGAAGUGCCCUCUAAGUUAGGAAUUUUAGAAUCUUUAGCAAUUAUUUUCCCAUUUUGUACUUGAAAAUUCCCAAACAAUGAAAACAAAUCAAAGUAGGGUAGCCUAAUUGAUCAUAAACCUUCACAGGCCCACAGAUUACAAUUUUUGCCACAAAAUUGUUAUGUAAACCUAAUAUUUUGACCUUUUCUUAUUUGAAUAGGUAAACUUUGACCAAAUUGAACGUCAGAAAGAGUCCAGUUCUACCUUAAUUCACUCUGGAUGGGUUUUCUCCCUACUUCUUUGAAUUUUAAAGUAGUACUCUACAUUGUCAUAAUGGCUGACUGCCUUUAAAGACAUGGAUGAAAAAAUCGAUAUCAGCAAUAUUUGACUUUUCCUUUUCCAUUUAAAUACCUAGCCGAGUAGUUCAGUAGGUUAGAAUACCGACUGCUGAACUGUAGGUCACAGGUUCGACAUAUCCUCCACUUUUCAUCUACAUCAAAUUUCUCUGGUGUAGCAUACCUCCUUAAUUUGUUCAAACUUUCAUUUACCUGUUUGAUUUCUGGUCAUUCCAGCACUCUACAUUGUCACUUUGGUUUUUCAGCUCCCUGGGCGUCAUGAGAUGACAACCUGCAAUAGGAGCAGUUCCUACCGGUAUCUCUUAAAAGCAGACAGAGGUUUUCUUAAGCACCUGAUCCAUUUCUGAAGACAAAUUUUUGUAUGGAACUGGGUAGCAGUUACUUGAGAUGUCCGGCUGAUUGAUGAGGAUACUUUCCCUGAGACUCUAACAUUUUGUAGGACUUCGAUAGCUCUAUUGCUGUAGAAGAUGUCAGGACGGUGGAGAUUUAGAUAAGUGGUGUGAUGUUAUUGAUGGUAAACAGAAGACUGUGACCUUGAAUCUGAAGAUCUGUGAUGAAGACUAGACGUUUGGGGUCACUCUUUGUUACAGUACUACAAAUCUAACAGUGCCCCACUCAGCCACAAAGAGGUUGUCUCUGAUGUCCACACAUAAACCGUGAGGAAACUCUAAACCACAGUGAAUGUAACGGAGGAACUGUCCGUCCUGAUCUAGGAUGUGGAUACGGUGAUUGUCAUAGUCUGCUGUCAGGAUGUGACUCUGGCUGUCUGUAGUGAUGCCGCAUGGAUCAAAUGAUUGCUUGGUAUUAGAGGGAUGACCAGUGUAUCUAAAUCGGAGUUUUCCUGACUGAUUGACCACCACUACUGCACUAGCUAACCGGUCAGCCACACAGAUAUCCAGGUUCCUGUUCUCACUGAGGUAUUUAAUGUGAUGAGAUGAGUAGAGAGGACGACCCUGAUCAUCAAACUGAAUGCUUUGUUUCUCUGUGGAGCCGGAGUAACGCACGACUUUGGAUUGUUUUCUAUCAUCACUGAUCAUGGUAACCAGGAGAUCGUUAGCCGCGGUACAGCAGACAUAGAGAGGUCUCCACCCCUGUAGUGUGAUCACGAAUGAGUUGAGUGAAAUGAUGAACCUCCAGAUGUCUAUGUACAGUGUAUGAAUAAACUCUGUUGCACUCGCGCAUGCGAGCUUAUCCUA